UACGUAGGGGGCAAGCGUUGUCCGGAUUUAUUGGGCGUAAAGAGCGUGUAGGCGGCCAGGUAGGUCCGUUGUGAAAACUAGAGGCUCAACCUCUAGACGUCGACGGAAACCGUGUGGCUAGAGUCCGGAAGAGGAGAGUGGAAUUCCUGGUGUAGCGGUGAAAUGCGCAGAUAUCAGGAAGAACACCAAUUGCGAAGGCAGCUCGCUGGGACGUAACUGACGCUGAGACGCGAAAGCGUGGGGAGCAAACAGG
rnacentral:rRNA from 1 species